AGGAUUAAUUAAUAUGUUAAUUAAUCAAACGAAUAAGUUCGUUAAAGACCUCGGGAUAGUUUUGGACCCUAAGGCCCAAUGAGCUUCGAACGUCAAGCCCAUUGACUUAAGUUGUAUGACAAUUUAAUGAAUAAAGAUUCACAAAGGCCCAAAAGCCCAAAUCCUUUAUGUGGCCGGCCAUGUGUGUUGAAUUAGGGUUUUUGGUUCUUUAGGUCAUUUAAAGAAGUGACUAUAUAAAGAACUUUAUAGCCUAAAAUUCUAAAAAAGGGGUUUCUUUUAGGAAAUUGGAGAGAACACAAAGCUCUCAUUUCUCUUUAAAGAGGCUGGCCCCUUUGGAGGGAUUAGCUAGCAAUCCCACUCCUCCAAGGUCACUCAUUUCUUCUCCAAUCUAACCUUGGUGUAGACACUUAGAGGUUCCCAAUUUUGGGAACUUGGAGAACCAUAUUCUUCCAUCCAAAUCCACGGAUCUAAGAAGCAAGGAAUGAAGGCCCUCUCUUUGGGUGAUUAGCCUUUGCUUACGCAAAGAGGAAUCUACAAAGGUAUAAAUUUCUCAACUCACUUUGAUUUGAGUUGAGUCUGAAGGAAAAAAUUAGUCCUAGCUAAGAACAAGUAAGAACAUUUGAAUACAUAUGCAAACUAUUAACACUUUAAAGUAGGCAUGCAUUAAAAAACAAUUCAUAAAACCCAUGACUUUCAAAGCCUAGUAUAUGGUGAACCAAUAAACUCUUUAACAACAUUAAAGAGAAGUAAAGAUUUAGAGUUUCUUUACCCUUGAAGCUCAUCCUUGUUUACACAAGGGAUUCACCCAAGUGGAGGGCCUUCAAGUCACCUCCUAGCUCCUUGGAUAUUGCUUGUGAUUUCCUUCUCCUUUUUGUGCUCCUUUGGAAUUUGAGGAUGUAAGGAAAGGAUCUCCAAAAACACCAAAGAUUUGGUGUCUCUAAGUCUCCACACCAAGGGUUAAGUGUGAAGAUGAAAUGGAUGACUUAGAGAAGAAAAGAUUGCUAGAUUAAUCUCUCUAAGUGGCCGGCCUCUUUAGAGAAAUAGAGAAAGUGUUUCACCUCAUUUCACCAAGAAAAACCCUCUUGAGAAAUAAAGCUAUAAAGUUGAUUUUAUACUUCAUUUCAAGUGAGUGGCAAACUUGUAAUUAAUCUAAGUUUGCUACCCUCACCCUUAUGGCCGGCCUUACCUUUGUUAUUGGGCUAAUUGCCCAUUUUGUUUUAGUUGUCAUACAACUUAAACAUAAUGGGCCUUGUGGACCAAAACGCUUUUGAGUGAUAGUUUGUUUCAUGUCUACUAUCCAAUGUGAUACUUAUCUAUAUGAUUCCCUUGAAUAUGAUUUGGAACAUUCUUCCUAAGUCAUAUUCAUAUGCUUUGGCCAAAGACUUUAGAAUCAUAUCUUAGAGUAUUCUCCUUCCACCAUGGAAGGUUAGAGUUCCCUUGUUGUGCAUUCAUAUGCCUACACGACUAGAUAGCUUGACCCCAACAAUGCCGUGGACACUCCGA
rnacentral:lncRNA from 1 species